AGAUUUCAAAAAGACAGAAAUAUAAGUUCAUCAAUUAUACCUACGCAAUUGAAACACUUUCUCUAAUGUCAAAUGUGUUAAUCUUUGGGCUUAAACAACUGUAGUUGAGUUACUCGAAAGAUUCGCAGAAUGCAACCUACUUGAUAUAUUUAACAGGAGUGAAUAUUAUUGGAGAAAUUAUAAUGCAAAUGAUAAGAAUUUCUCAGCAUUCUUUAACAUCUUUUCUCAAAAUGCUCAACUGCUCUGAACAAGAAUUGCUCACACUUCUCAAGCACCUC